rnacentral:rRNA from 1 species
GACGAACGCCGGCGGCGUGCUUAACACAUGCAAGUCGAACGGAAAGGCCCUGCUUGCGGGGUACUCGAGUGGCGAACGGGUGAGUAACACGUGGGUGAUCUGCCCUGCACUUCGGGAUAAGCCUGGGAAACUGGGUCUAAUACCGGAUAGGAGCCAUUUUUAGUGUGAUGGUUGGAAAGUUUUUUCGGUGUAGGAUGAGCUCGCGGCCUAUCAGCUUGUUGGUGGGGUAAUGGCCUACCAAGGCGGCGACGGGUAGCCGGCCUGGGAGGGUGGACGGCCACAUUGGGACUGAGAUACGGCCCAGACUCCUACGGGAGGCAGCAGUGGGGAAUAUUGCACAAUGGGCGCAAGCCUGAUGCAGCGACGCCGCGUGGGGGAUGACGGCCUUCGGGUUGUAAACUCCUUUCGCUAGGGACGAAGCUUUUUGUGACGGUACCUAGAUAAGAAGCACCGGCUAACUACGUG